rnacentral:rRNA from 1 species
GAUGAACGCUGGCGGCGUGCCUAAUACAUGCAAGUCGAGCGAACAGACGAUGAGCUUUCUCCCCUGACGUUAGCGGCGGACGGGUGAGUAACACGUGGAUAACCUACCUCUUAUACUUGGAUAACUUCGGGAAACCGCAGCCACUACCGCCUAAUACAUUGAACCGCAUGGUUCAAUAGUUCAUGACGGCUUUCCUGUCACUUAUAGCUGGUUUCGCGCCGCAUUAGCUAGUUGGUAAGGUAACGGCUUACCAAGGCGACGAUGCGUAGCCGACCUGAGAGGGUGAUCGGCCACACUGGAACUGAGACACGGUCCAGACUCCUACGGGAGGCAGCAGUAGGGAAUCUUCCGCAAUGGGCGAAAGCCUGACGGAGCAACGCCGCGUGAGUGAUGAAGGUCUUCGGAUCGUAAAACUCUGUUAUUAGGGAAGAACAAAUGUGUAAGUAACUAUGCACGUCUUGACGGUACCUAAUCAGAAAGCCACGGCUAACUACGUG